UACGUAGGGGGCAAGCGUUGUCCGGAUUUAUUGGGCGUAAAGAGCGUGUAGGCGGCCAGACAGGUCCGUUGUGAAAACUCGAGGCUCAACCUCGAGACGUCGAUGGAAACCGUCUGGCUAGAGUCCGGAAGAGGAGAGUGGAAUUCCUGGUGUAGCGGUGAAAUGCGCAGAUAUCAGGAAGAACACCCGUGGCGAAGGCGGCUCUCUGGGACGGUACUGACGCUGAGACGCGAAAGCGUGGGGAGCAAACGGG
rnacentral:rRNA from 1 species